AGCCAAGUUUGCAUUUUACUCCAACAGUCUCUCUAUUCACAUUCUCCAAUUUAACAUCGGGUCCCACAUGCUGGCAGCGGGGGCGGCGGAGGCUCGCGACGACGACGACCCCGGGCGCGGAGGACGGCGGCAGUCGCGGCCGGCGACGGCGCGGAGGGCGGCGGUCGCGGCCGACAACGGCGCGGAGGGCCGAGGUCGAGGCCGGCGACGGUGCGGAGGGCCGCGGAUGUGGCCCCCGCGCGUGAAUCAGGACGAAGGCGCCAGCCAAAUCGGGACGAAGGCGGCGGCGACGACGUCUCCCCACGCGCGCGAGGCGGGAGGCGAUGGCGGCGGUGACGGCGGCGGCUACGGCUCCCAGCGCGUGAGGUGGGAGGCGGCAGCGGAGGGGGCUCCUCACGCGCGCGAGGCGGCGGCGGUGACGGCUCCUCGCGCGGCAGCAGCGAUGCAGAUGGCGACGGCUCCCCGCGGCGGCGACGAUGAUGCCUGCUGCAGCGGACUGUGGACCAGACGUCGCUCGUCGACGGCGCCCUCGGUUCGUCCCCGCCGCCGCCGCCGCCUCGUGCUUUCCUCGUUCGCUCGCCGAUGGCGCUCCUAUGGACCAGUGGUGGGUGGACAGGAGAGAGAGGAAGGAUGGGGCUGGGAGUGGUGGUGGGACCCAUCUUUGGCCAGCCGGAAGAGGCUGGCUACAUUUGGCUGGCUACAUUUGGCUAGUCAUAGGAGCAAUUUGUCUAUUUGGAAAGUUUGUUGGAGCUCCUUUUUUUUCUAUGUUGGCUAAAUUUUAACUUAGAGAGCUAAAUAGAUAAUCUCUUGGAGAUACUCUUAGUUCUAACUAUUUAGAAUCUUCAGCAGUCAUAAGCUAUUCCAAAUAUUUUCUAUAUUCUUAUAAACUGGUUUCUCAGAAUCUUAAUCUUAAUCUUCUUAAA